rnacentral:rRNA from 1 species
AGUGAACGCUGGCGGUAGGCCUAACACAUGCAAGUCGAACGGCAGCACAGUUAGUGCUUGCUCUUACGGGUGGCGAGUGGCGGACGGGUGCGGAAUACAUCGGAAUCUACUUUUUCUUGGGGGAUAACGUAGGGAAACUUACGCUAUUACCGCAUACGACCUACGGUUGAAAUCAGGGGAUCUUCGGACCUUGCUCGAUUGACUGAGCCGAUGUCUGAUUAGCUAGUUGGCGGGGUACAGGCCCACCCAGGGGACGAUCCGUAGCUGGUCUGAGAGGAUGAUCAGCCACACUGGAAGGGAGACACGGUCCAGACUCCUACGGGAGGCAGCAGUGGGGAAUAUUGGACAAUGGGCGGAAGCGUGAACCAGCCAUACCGCGUGGGUGAAGAAGACCUUCGGGUUGUAAAGCCCUUUUGUUGGGAAAGAAAAGCAGCAGGUUAAUACCCAGCUGUUCUGACGGUACCCAAAGAAUAAGCACCGGCUAACUACGUG